rnacentral:rRNA from 1 species
UACGUAGGGUGCGAGCGUUGUCCGGAAUUACUGGGCGUAAAGAGCUUGUAGGUGGUUUGUCGCGUUGUUCGUGAAAUCUCACGGCUUAACUGUGAGCGUGCGGGCGAUACGGGCAGACUUGAGUACUACAGGGGAGACUGGAAUUCCUGGUGUAGCGGUGAAAUGCGCAGAUAUCAGGAGGAACACCGGUGGCGAAGGCGGCUUUCUGGACAGUAACUGACGCUGAGGCGACGAAAGCUAGGGGAGCAAACAGG